CCUACGGGUGGCAGCAGUGAGGUAUAUUGGUCAAUGGACGCAAGCCUGAACCAGCCAUGCCGCGUGCAGGAAGAAGGCGCUACGGAUUGUAAACUGCUUUUAUAAGGGGGUAAUUAGAGACACGUGUACCUUUUUGAAUGUACUGUAUGAAUAAGGAUCGGCUAACUCCGUGCCAGCAGCCGCGGUAAUACGGAGGAUCCGAGCGUUAUCCGGAUUUAUUGGGUUUAAAGGGUGCGUAGAUGGGCAGGUAAGUCAGUGGUGAAAGUUUGAGGCUCAACCGUAAAACUGCAUUUGAUACUGGCUGUCUAGAGUACAGUUGCGGUAGGCGGAAUGUGUGGUGUAGCGGUGAAAUGCUUAGAUAUCACGAAGAACUCCGAUUGCGAAGGCAGCUUACCAAGCUGCCACUGACACUGAGGCGCGAAAGUGUGGGGAGCAAACAGGAUUAGAUACCCGAGUAGUC
rnacentral:rRNA from 1 species